UGGGGAAUAUUGCGCAAUGGGCGAAAGCCUGACGCAGCUACGCCGCGUGUGUGAAGAAGGCCUUCGGGUUGUAAAGCACUGUCAGGAGGGAAGAACUGACGUGGUAACUCCACGUCUCUGACGGUACCUCCAAAGGAAGCACUGGCUAACUCCGUGCCAGCAGCCGCGGUAAUACGGAGAGUGCAAGCGUUGUUCGGAAUUACUGGGCGUAAAGAGCGUGUAGGCGGCCUGGCAAGUCUGGUGUGAAAGCCCGGGGCUCAACCCCGGAAGUGCAUCGGAAACUGCCAAGCUUGAGUACUGGAGGGGGAAGCGGAAUUCCGAGUGUAGAGGUGAAAUUCGUAGAUAUUCGGAGGAACAUCUGUGGCGAAGGCGGCUUCCUGGACAGAUACUGACGCUGAGACGCGAAAGCGUGGGGAGCAAACAGG
rnacentral:rRNA from 1 species